UUUUCCUUUUUCCUUCUUUUUUUGCCUUUUCUUUCCUGUCAUUCUCCCAGCCAAAAGCCGCCUUCGACCCUUUUGAUUUGAUAUAGCAAAGAGUGUGUGUCCAGAUUAUCUGAAAUUGACACUGAAGAAGCUACACAGGUGGUCAAGCAGGGCCCGGAAGAAGACCAUAAAGGAAAAAGCGGUCCAGGAUUCGCUGAUGGGCUGCCGGCAGGCAGACCGGUGUGGCUCAGACCUGGUGACUUUUUGGAGAGGCCGCAGAAUGAGGACAGCAGACACACGAGGACCUUGACUCAGCGCACAGACAGUACGAAAAGGAGACAAAGACAGACAGAACCGAAAAAAAAAAAAAGAGCAUUUCCCCCUCCUACGUAUUUUUUUUUCCUGAUAAGUCUCACAAAGCUGAGAGUCUGGUCGGGUCCAGCCGGUUGUCUUGGUUGUCUUGGGGCUCGGUCUCCAGUGGCUGUGCCUGCUUUGAGGCCACUCUGCUGUCACGGCGUGGCCCAAACUAGGUUCGGGCGGAGAGUUGGAAACUCGCUGGACCCAGACCUCCAGGGAGGCGGCAAACCCUCUGUUCCUUUUUCUUUCCUCCACCCACCCCUCUUCCUCACCUCGGGGUCCUUCUCCUUCCGACCCAGGGCACCAGAAAGGGUGGAUGGACCUGGAGGCGAGAGGGGCCGGGCCAUGGGAGACGGGAAGGAGGCGGGUGAGUGCGAACUGAUAACCUCACAUGAGUUGAGGCUGCUGCAUAGCUUCUUGGUGCGCUGAAGGAUACCAGGAUGUGUAGCUGGGGACGUAGGAGCCUGCGCUGCUGCCGGAGCCCUUCCCAGAGGAGGAGUUCGGAUUCCAGCCGGGUGGCACCGGUGGGGAGCCGGCAGACAAGGCCCUGCCAUUCGCCAGCGCGCUGCCCUCCAGAGCUGCCCCGCCUUGCUUCAUCAGCUUCUUGAACUUGGAGCGUUUGUUCUGGAACCAUAUCUUGACCUGCAAGAUCGGGCGACAACGUGACUGGACUGUGACCACAGAGCCUACCCAGGCCUGGGGAGGAGAGAAGGGACUGGUGGAAGAGAAUACCCGCCCUCCUGGCUCUGCCGAGGCUGGCAGCUCCAGGCUAGAGGGGCAGAGACCACCAUCCUCACCCCCAGUCCCCAUGAGAGCCAAAAGCUAGAAAACUGAUCACCCAAUCCCGCCGCUGCUGAUGGCCCUUAGUGCGGUUCUCAAAUAUGGGGGUGGGGGUGGAGUAAGAGAGCAGGGGAGACCCAGGCCUUGGCGUGCAAGUGGGUCAGUGCCAACCUGGCUGCUGUUUACGGAAGACCUCUUGCAUGCAAAACAAUGCAAUAUCAAUAAAGACAAUUUAAAACCUA